rnacentral:rRNA from 1 species
AAUUUUGGACAAUGGGGGAAACCCUGAUCCAGCCAUCCCGCGUGUAGGAUGAAGGCCUUCGGGUUGUAAAGUACUUUUGGCAGAGAAGACAAGGUAUCCCUUAAAAGGGGAUACAGCUGACGUUAUCUGCAGAAUAAGCACCGCCUAACUACGUCCCACCAGCCGCGGUAAUACGUAGGGUGCAAGUGUUAAUGGGAAUUACGGGGCGUAAAGCGUGUGUAGGCGGUUCGGAAAGAAAGAUGUGAAAUCCCAGGGCUCAACCUUGGAACUGCAUUUUUAACUGCCGAGCUAGAGUAUGUCAGAGGGGGGUAGAAUUCCACGUGUAGCAGUGAAAUGCGUAGAUAUGUGGAGGAAUACCGAUGGCGAAGGCAGCCCCCUGGGAUAAUACUGACGCUCAGACACGAAAGCGUGGGGAGCAAACAGG